rnacentral:lncRNA from 1 species
GCUCUGGCACUUAUAUUUUUCUUCACAUGUUAAUCCCUUGUUAAUUCUCUCGGGUCCACAAAUUAUACAUAGCCCAAUACACCAAAUAAUCUUGCUGCUAUUUUUCUACUCAUAAAUCCUUUUUCUUAUUAGGUUAGACAAGUGCAACGUUAAUUUCUUCUCAUUUUCUUAAGCCUUAAAAGCAUCUUACAUUAGUUGACUAAUAAUAAUAAGAAAAUACUAUUUG